CCUACGGGAGGCAGCAGUGGGGAAUAUUGCGCAAUGGGCGAAAGCCUGACGCAGCGACGCCGCGUGAGGGAUGAAGGUCUUCGGAUCGUAAACCUCUGUCAGCAGGGAAGAACGGUCACUGUGCUAAUCAGCAGUGAAUUGACGGUACCUGCAAAGGAAGCACCGGCUAACUCCGUGCCAGCAGCCGCGGUAAUACGGAGGGUGCAAGCGUUAAUCGGAAUUACUGGGCGUAAAGCGCUCGUAGGCGGUAUGUCAAGUCAAGGGUGAAAUCCCCGCGCUCAACGUGGGAACUGCCUUUGAAACUGGCAGACUGGAGUGUGUGAGAGGAGAGUGGAAUUCCAGGUGUAGGGGUGAAAUCCGUAGAUAUCUGGAGGAACAUCAGUGGCGAAGGCGACUAUCUGGCACAUAACUGACGCUGAGGAGCGAAAGCGUGGGUAGCAAACAGGAUUAGAUACCCUAGUAGUC
rnacentral:rRNA from 1 species